ACGAAGAAUGAAGUGAUUAUCUCUGCAGGUCCUCCUGUUUUCAAGGAGACUUUGAAUAAAGCAGAAAUAAUGAGCACCUGAACCAAGGCAUCAACACGGGGCUGGAGAGGACUAGAAGCACUAAUAAAGUCCAAUCCACAGCUGUUAUUAAAACUGUAAGCGGGAGGAUAGAGGUCCUAUUUCAUGACUGAGGAGCUUUGGUGGAUACUACAGCCACACAUUUGGAUGGAAGGUAGACGACCGGAUAAUUCUUGUGCUCUGAAUGGAAGCAGUUUAUUGAGCUUCCUCCCACCCCAGUACAAUAAAUGAAGAGACUCACAAGAUUAAGGAGUGAUAAGAGUACACCGCUUCAAAAAAAAACAAAUCCUGUGCAAGGGGAAUAGUGAGCAAAUGAGGUCUGAUCCUUUCAAAGGCGGGAGACAGGAAUUCUGUUUGCAUGUUACCAGAGAUGUCCAAAUGCCUGUCACUUUUUCCUUAAUGUGGUAAGUAAUCACUCUUUCCUUUCAUUAGUACAUCCAUAGCAUUUACUAAGAACCACCUAAUUUCUUUACUCUUUAAUUAUGACUUCCCACACAUCUAUCAGCUGCCAGGGAUAUUGCAACUGCUAGUGCAUUCUCUUCCACUGUUCCCCUAUUCCCAUUCUCCACCAGUGGAAGUUUUAACAGCCACAUGGCUACU